UACAGAGGUCCCAAGCGUUGUUCGGAUUCAUUGGGCGUAAAGAGCUCGUAGGCGGUUCGGCAAGUCGGGUGUGAAAACUCCAGGCUCAACCUGGAGACGCCACCCGAUACUGCUGUGACUCGAGUCCGGUAGGGGACCACGGAAUUCCUGGUGUAGCGGUGAAAUGCGCAGAUAUCAGGAGGAACACCGGUGGCGAAGGCGGCGACCUGGUCCUUGACUGACGCUGAGGCGCGAAAGCGUGGGGAGCAAACAGG
rnacentral:rRNA from 1 species